rnacentral:rRNA from 1 species
AUGAACUUGUUAUGUUGCUACCUAUGCUAUUGUCUUGAUCAAGUGAGACUAAGUGAGACUAUGUUGUUAUCUUAUUAUCUUGAUCAUGUGAGUCUAUGUUGUUUACCUUGUGGGUAUGGAUUUUGUUUUGUCCAUGUGUUAACAUAUUCAUCUCAUGCUCACAAUGAGGGGGAGCCAAAUACAAAUAGAAACAUCAAGUUACUUUGUACUUUCGCUCUCAUAUUUGUCAAUGCUAAGACUAUUUAUUACAACUGUGAUACUACAUGUGUGAUUGUCAUCAACAAACAAAAAGGGGGAGAUUGA